GACGAACGCUGGCGGCGUGCUUAACACAUGCAAGUCGAACGGAAAGGCCCCUUCGGGGGUACGUCGAGUGGCGAACGGGUGAGUAGCACGUGGGUGAUCUACCCUGCACUUCGGGAUAAGCCUGGGAAACUGGGUCUAAUACCGGAUAUGACCACGAGAUGCAUGUCUUGUGGUGGAAAGCUUUUGCGGUGUGGGAUGGGCCCGCGGCCUACCAGCUUGUUGGUGGGGUGACGGCCUACCAAGGCGACGACGGGUAGCCGGCCUGAGAGGGUGUCCGGCCACACUGGGACUGAGAUACGGCCCAGACUCCUACGGGAGGCAGCAGUGGGGAAUAUUGCACAAUGGGCGCAAGCCUGAUGCAGCGACGCCGCGUGGGGAUGACGGCCUCGG
rnacentral:rRNA from 1 species